AUACCGUGAUCAGUUAGGCGGUUCCCCCAGGGCGAGGCUGCUCCAUUGCACUGCGGAGUGGUUGACCCUUGCGAUUAUCCCUAAUGCGGAUAACUCGGACGCUAAUUUUUGGUAG
rnacentral:snRNA from 1 species